rnacentral:rRNA from 1 species
UACGUAGGCAGCGAGCGUUGUUCGGAGUUACUGGGCGUAAAGCGUGCGUAGGCGGUUCGUUAAGUCUGUUGUGAAAGCCCCGGGCUCAACCUGGGAAUGGCAAUGGAUACUGGCGAGCUAGAGUGUGUCAGAGGAUGGUGGAAUUCCCGGUGUAGCGGUGAAAUGCGUAGAGAUCGGGAGGAACAUCAGUGGCGAAGGCGGCCAUCUGGGACAACACUGACGCUGAGGCACGAAAGCGUGGGGAGCAAACAGG